GCCCUGCUGGCCUAAUGGCUAAGGCGCAGAACUUCUAAUUCUGAGAUUAGCGGUUCGAGUCCGCUGCGGGGCU